AGAGUUUGAUCCUGGCUCAGAUUGAACGCUGGCGGCAGGCCUAACACAUGCAAGUCGAGCGGAUGAGUGGAGCUUGCUCCAUGAUUCAGCGGCGGACGGGUGAGUAAUGCCUAGGAAUCUGCCUGGUAGUGGGGGACAACGUUUCGAAAGGAACGCUAAUACCGCAUACGUCCUACGGGAGAAAGCAGGGGACCUUCGGGCCUUGCGCUAUCAGAUGAGCCUAGGUCGGAUUAGCUAGUUGGUGAGGUAAAGGCUCACCAAGGCGACGAUCCGUAACUGGUCUGAGAGGAUGAUCAGUCACACUGGAACUGAGACACGGUCCAGACUCCUACGGGAGGCAGCAGUGGGGAAUAUUGGACAAUGGGCGAAAGCCUGAUCCAGCCAUGCCGCGUGUGUGAAGAAGGUCUUCGGAUUGUAAAGCACUUUAAGUUGGGAGGAAGGGCAGUAAGUUAAUACCUUGCUGUUUUGACGUUACCGGCAGAAUAAGCACCGGCUAACUUCGUGCCAGCAGCCGCGGUAAUACGAAGGGUGCAAGCGUUAAUCGGAAUUACUGGGCGUAAAGCGCGCGUAGGUGGUUCGUUAAGUUGGAUGUGAAAGCCCCGGGCUCAACCUGGGAACUGCAUCCAAAACUGGCGAGCUAGAGUAUGGCAGAGGGUGGUGGAAUUUCCUGUGUAGCGGUGAAAUGCGUAGAUAUAGGAAGGAACACCAGUGGCGAAGGCGACCACCUGGGCU
rnacentral:rRNA from 2 species